CAGGCUAGUAUAAAAGGAGCUGCAGGGCCACAGUGAAUGCAAUUUCUUGCUGGAGCUGGUGGAAUGUGGAUGGUGUGCCUGGCUGGCUGAGGGAGCUACAGGACCUCGGACAGAGCAGUGCUGGUAGAGACUGGGGGAAGUGAGAAGGAAUUCACGGCUGGCUGCUGGGAAUCAAUCAGGACAAGGCUCUGAGACUGUGUGGGACUCAGCCAGAGGGCUAAGUUGCUGGAGACUCACCGCAAGGCAGAGAGAAAGUGCAGACACACGCAGUAAGAGAAGGGGACACUCGCGAGAGUAACAGAAGCUAAGUAAAGACCAUAAGGAGUGUAGCCAAAACAGUCCAAAACAAGUUUCAGGAUCUGACAAGAAAUCUCUGCAGUCGUUGGCAGUAUCCUCGGUGUGGACCUGCAUUCCAGCUGCCCACUUCCUAAUCUCUGUUUAAUCACAGAUCAGCAUUUUAAGCGAACCUUGGAAAAACGACUGUGUGAUCAGACACUGCACUGCAAGCAAGAAUACCCAUUUGGUAAUUGUAGUCGUGGACAAAAAGCUGAAUGCUGUGCUUUCAGUAACUUAUCAUUGAGACCUUGUGGUUUCUGUGUAGGAGGGUUGUACAAGCUGGACACGUUUGACAUCCUUAUUUCUGAGCUGUGAAAUCUGUUCAUCUAACUUAUGAAAAUUACUUCUGCUUUUAUUUUAUUUAAUUAAGUCAACGCCAUAUUUUCCUUGCAUUCAGUGGAAACAAAAACAAUGGAAAUGUUUUAGGGUAUGCUGUGAACCUGCUUUGACCUCCAAAAGAGAAAAGGAUGAAUAUGUUCAUUUCUAUGAUUAACAGUCAGGAUGCUUUACUUAUAGAAGUAAGCUUAAAUAAAAUACUAUAACCAAUUGAUUGGAGAGAGGGGAGCAUUUCUCUGAUGUGGAGAUAGAAGAUUCAUUACUGUGCCAUGUUAGUAUCAUGUUUUUAAUCCUUGAUUUUCUACUGUAAGUAUGAUAAUAACAUAGAACCAUGUAAAUAUCUGUAGUUCUUUUAGAGGGCUAAAUCUGGUUCUUCAUACCGAAAAUGGAUUACUUUGGGAUGGGGAGGUCUGAAUAGUCUUCCCAUGCUGUAGAGAAGUCACUCCUGCACCUCUGUUCUGCAAGUAAUAGAUCCACUGGCGUCAGCCUGUCUCUUCCCCCAGGCCACUCCUACUCUAGCUGCUAUGAAGAUACAUACCAGGAGCCCCCAGAGAGGUGAGAUUUGUAGAAUGCAGAGCAUUUGGGCCUAUGUGGGUUCAGCAAAUCCUGUCUCCCCUCAUUGUCCUGCAUAGCAGAACCCCACCAACUGCACCACACCUGGGGCCUUCUGCAGGGGCAAGAUCAGUGCCCAUGCAGCCAAUACAUCAUACUCCAAAAUGAAGCAAUAGAAUGACUCAAAUCCUAUGCAUGUGAAGGAGACCACUCAAAGAUUCAAAACAGACCCACAAUCUUUCUUGGAUAUGUCUAUACUACAAAUGCUACAGCAGCACACUACAGGUAUGCUGCUAUAGUGUAGACACUAGAGCGAGGGAAGUGGUUUUUCCUGUUUAGUAAAUCCACCUGCCUUUUGAGAGUCUGAUGGAAGAAUUCUUCUUUUGACGUAGCUGCAUCAGCCGUGGCGGUCAGGUUGACUUAACUACAUCUCACAGGCUGUGAAAUUUUUCACAGCCCUGAGUGAUAUAGCUAGGACGACCUAAGUUUUAGGUAUAGACCCAGACCCUGGCAAAAUAGAAGAGGAACUAGUACUUUUGUGGAUGUUUCGCCCCAUCUGUUUUCUGCAACCUCAUCUGUGGCAGAAAAAUCCACCUGAAAGCAUUAAAGACAAUAGAACCCUUUUGCAUGCAUUUUGUGUUAACAAAGAUUUAGAGUGUGAUUAUCACUGAACAAUCAUUUUGGAAGAGAUGGCCAUGAGAAGCUCAUGUUACUAACUCUGAUUUUUGUAUCUCAAACAUGCCUUUGCAAGUAAAAAGAUCAAAUUUUUAACUACAAAUUUUCUCAAUGAUCUCAGUUUCAGACAUGCUCCUUUGCAGGUAAAAAGAUGUGUGUGUUAAGUGCCACGCUUGCGAAAUCUCCCUUGGAUCUGAAAAUCAAGGGGGUGAUACUGCUCAUGCUUAAUCAACACAACCUGAACAAAGAGAGGCACGUAAUAGUGGGAGGAUGACAAGUGAUGGUCUUGAGACACUGGAGCCUGGGCUACACUAUGAAGGUUUACCAGUAAGACUUGCCUUAUGCGGGAAUAUCUUUGCAUGUAUCCACACACAAUUUUGCAUCCUGUCAGUAAAACUCUCCUAUUCUGUCAGGCAAAUUAAACCACCUCGCCAAACGACAUAAGCCCUGUACCAGCACUGUUCUGUUGGUAUGUUGCCUGUGUUGACACUGUAUUACCUCAUCCAAUAUAAACCAUCCUCUAGCAACAAUCACACCGGGCCCCGUCCCAGUGACAGUGACGGCUGUGGUCCAGUUUUGAACUCUGCUGCCCAGGGCUCAGAGCAUGUGGCUCCAAGGGUAGGGUGGUGCUACAGGGUUUCCCUAGCGAUUCCAAACACAGGGACUAGGGGCCUUGUUGUGGGCUGCCAGACCAGAAGCCUGCCGCCCAUUGUAACCUCCCCAGCCUGUUCUGGAAAUUUCUCUCUUCCUACGAGCCCACCUUUGCAAGCACACCUGUGGUAGCCCAGUGCACAGGUCUGUCACCAGACGGAGCUACGGCGAAGUUCAGGCAAGCCUCAUGCUGCAGCCUGGGUCAAGAGAGGAGUUCUGGACUUCCUCAGCCUGAGGGAAGAAGGGGCAGCACAAGCCCCACUGCGGAAUUGCCAUAGGAAUAAAGAUGUUUGUUCUGACAUUACAAAGAAGAAACUAAAGGUGGGGUAGGCCAGGGUUAAGAAGCAAUGCCAGGAAAGGGGGAAGGGAACUAUAGCAGUCCUAUCAAAAGGCAAUGGAGGUUUCCUGCUACACCUUCUGAUAUUAUGAUGAUGCUGCAUGCCAUACUGGGCGGGGACCCCACACAACCACCCUGUGAGUGACAGUGGACUGAAAUCCAGAGACAGCCGUCUCCAGUAGCUCACAGCAAUGAAGAACUCAUACAAAGGAUGCUGAUCCCAUGGAAAGCCAGGCGCUCUUCAACAGCCAGCCAAACCCAACCCAGACAAGUCCUGAAGUGGAACCCACUGAUGAAGGGGAAGGGAACUCAGGUAAAUGUAUUAAUUCAUGCAGCUUUUUUUUUAAAAAAAAUGUGUUCACAGGCCCCAAAAUCCCCCUCCCCGCUUUUUUUUCCUGCCCUCUUCUCCCUCUUAAAAUGGUGGCUGAAUGCAUGCAGGCAGCAAACAAAAUAAAUUGCUUUUUGGACUAGUUGGUUUAUUUUAACAUUCAUUGGCACUAAGAGGCAAAAAGUAAGACUAAAUAUGAUAAGCAACAGAAAAACAUUCCCACAUGCAUGCUAAUGUCAGGGUAGGCAGAUAGAAUGUCUAGCAACAUAAGCUGAUGUAUUCUUGUAAACGGAACAAGAACUACGCUGAAACCUAUAUGUAAGCGUUAAAAUAAAAAACUUAGAAAAUUUAAAAUAAUCCUUGCAGGCAAUCCAGUAAGUGGUAAUUAAUAGUACAUAUUUUUAUGAAUAAAACUGUAAAGCAAACAUAUAAUGAAAACAUAAAAACACUGUGCUUUGUUUUUCCAGGCUGAGUCCAAGUCCAAAAUGAAUUACUUGCAUGCUGAUCUUGGAUUCAGGGGUAGAAAUGACUUAUUGCUGGCUCAGGGGGUUUAGCUUUGAACGGGUUUGCAGAACUAGACCGUGAUGACAACCCUUCUUUUUCAGAGUUUUAGGUUGACCUUGACAAGAAUAUUCCGUUUGUCUUCUGGCACAGUCUAGAUAAAGUUGUCAAGCACGUAUUCGUUAAGCUCUGACCGAAAAUUUCUCAGAAAAGCUGCCUUGUUCCUCAUGCUGCAGUAGGGCAUCUUCCCACACUGCUCUCAGUGAGUUCUAGUGGCACUGUCACUAUGAAGAAACCAGCAACGUACAGGCCAGGUGGCCUCAAGCAGUUGCCUUCUCUGGGCCUUUGCCACCCUCAGGAGUGAUAUCUCAGCCAGGUUCACCGCUGCCUUUUAUAAGUUUUACAAUAUUUACUGUACUAUCCCUACACUUAUUACCUGAGACACAUGACAGUCCACCCUCACCCCCUUUACUACAGAUUUUGAAAUAUACCCUCAUAUAAUCACCAUGCUGGGAGCUGCUGCUAUGAUUGGUUUUCCUCCCCUUUCUCAUCUAUCUGCUACACCUUCUACCAAGUUUGGCUUUCCCCUUGCCUUUGUUAUCCCUUUUAUGCUCGAGCUCUGCUGAGUGCCUCUGGAGGAAGCCCCAUGGCUAUGCCUCACUGCAAAUUGUCUUUAACAAGCAACAGGAAGCUGAAACAAUUCUCCUUUUCCCUGAUAUAUUCACAUACCUCUAUCCCUUGAGAAUUCCUUCAUUUAUCAUACCCUAUGUCUUCCUCUCUGACAUGCUCUGUUGUCUCCUCUAUUCCCAGGAUCUUGCCAAUUAUUUUAAAGUUAGGACUGACAUAUAAGUGGCACAAUGACUCACUUCCCUCUUCCUCAUUUCUAUUAUCCCUUUAUCUGACUUAUGCGAGCCUCUCACCACACAACCUGUCCCCUUGGCCCCCUCCCCUCCCAUAUGCUGUCCUUCUUUAUUUCAUCUCUCAACUUCGCUUCACCCUGGCUUCUUUGCUUUUACUUUCAUAAAAACACUUAAUCACACUUGCUUCUCCAGUUUCCAUCAUAAUUCCCUCCUCCAUUUUACCACUGUGCUCCUUGCACUUGAUUCUGUUUUCUCCAAUUCACUCCCUGAUUAGUUUCAUUCUGGCCUCAGACCACUCCACACUAAUGAAAGUGUUCUAACCAGAACAAUACUGGUUCAGUUCUAACACCAUUGCAGUGUCAGUCCAGGUCCUUUUAGACUUGAUCUGUCUCUGUCUGUGCUCCCCCAAGCAUAUUUCUUACCUUUAAGAGAGCUCAAAAAAUGACAUAGCCAAAAGCUUUACAAGUUUAUUGAAAUAGGUACUCCAUAACGUGUAUAUAAUUAAAUACUCCUAUUGUGUAACUCUGAAAUACCUCACAGAAGUGUCUAUACCUUCCUUUUUCCAAAAGGUGAAAACAAUUAUCCAUUGUAGAUGGGGGAAGCCAGUUGGUGUUCAAGACGAUGGGUGCCAAAAAAGAGGAUUUUUUUUAAAACAAAGAACAAUCUGACUGUGAUACAUCAUGGCCAGAGGGCAGCAGAAGAGUGUUAGAAGGGAGCCUUAUUCCCUGUAGAGGGAAGAAAGUUUGCUAUAAAUUAAUUAAAUUACCUGAAGCCAGUCACAUGAUAAAACCCCCCUGCUUCAAUCAGACAAGAGGAGGAGUUGAAGCAGAGUGGAUUGGUGUCGGAGCAGAGAGCAGUUUGGAGGAAAGCAGAGGAGAGUUUGGAGAAGUGCUGCGAUGGGCUAAGAAGACCAAGACCCUAGAUGCCCUGAACUUGGAUCAGUGAAGCCAGUCAGUGGAAGGAGGAUCAGGCCCAUAAUGACUACUCUUCAAUCAGGACCUGAUCUUGCAAGCUUGUGUGUGACUCAGCAGAGGGCCAAGUCACUGAAAACCUGCUCGAGAAAUUUAACCAUCAACAGGGGUCACUGCAAGCAGAACAAGGUUGACAGAGUGCAGGUGCAGACAUGCCUGGCUGGCAGGGGCACUCAUGUGAGGCAAUGGUAAACCCAACUGCUUUUUCAGAAAUAAAAAUGAUCUCCCAGUGACUCAACUGUAUGACCUAAGGCAAGUCUUUUCAUCUCUCUGUACCUCAGUUUUCUCACCUAUAUCAUACAUUGUUGGAGAAGGAGAUUUGGCCAACGUGAGCACACAAACAACCCUAAGACAACAAACCAACUUCCAAAGUAUACUUUUAUUGCUAGAUUUUUGUUGGUAUACAAAAUGAAGGAUAAACUGCUAGUUGCAUGAAUUUUUCUCUCACGCUGAUGUAACCGUUAAAUCUGAGCAAUCACAUCUUGUGGAUGUAUUGAUACAUCCUGUGGCCAUAAUAUGUGUUUGACUAUUUUUCCUCAUGAUAUAAAUACUGUAAGGUAUACAGAUACUAAGGCGAUGAGUGUGAGAGAAAUCAUCAGAGAGAGAAAUAGAUAUAAAUUAAUUUCAGGCAUAAUCUCUGAAAAUUUAAGGGGACUUUUACUCUGGUUGACUUUCAGUAAACCUUGUGUAAAGUUCCUGACUAGAGCUGAUGGCUUCAUUAUGUACCUCCUUGGGCAUUUGUACCUCAAAUGCUACUUAUAGCUUUAUGAAGCAGUGUGAGCAAAAUUCAUUUGUCUCUAAAGCUUUGCAUUUAGAGUACUCCAGCUAUUGAGAUAGGGGUGAUGAGCAUGAUUACCAGGGCUUACAUGUCCAUCUUAUGUCCACAGUACAUAAUAUUAAAGGCUUAGACCUUCUGUCAGUCUCUACUCUCUGUAAACUUUGUCACCCCAAUCCUGAAUUUGUAUUUUCCUUCAUAUAGGCCAAAACUGCCUAUUAAUACCUCUAUAAUAUUAACCACUGCCUCAGCUCCACCUCUUUUGAAAUCUUCAUCCACAUCUUCCACUCCUUCAACUCUCACCUUUUUUUACUCUAGUACAGGGGUGGCCAACCUGAGCCUGAGAA